CUCCUCUUAUUAAGCCAGUAAUUCCCACAGGACUGCCAUCUGGCUCUAUUCCAGGCUUGCCAGCCCAAGGGUCCCCAAGGAACAUUGCUGCCACAUCAUAACUUCCAGCCUCUGGAGUUCACCAGGAGCAGCCCAAGGAAGCUUCUGCACCCCUCACUUCUGGCCAGUAGCAGAAUGAGACGCCAACAGAUGAUUCUAUGGCCAGCCACAGACUCUGCACCCAGGGCAUGGUAGGAUGCUGUGCUUUGAGGACGGCUUCCUGGGCCAGCUGGGCUCCUGGUAGAGGAUCCAGGUGAGCAGGUGAGGGAGGGG
rnacentral:lncRNA from 1 species